UAGGCCCAGUCUGUUUAUUUUUUAAUAUUUAUUUAUUCAUUCAGUGCACUGCUCAGUUCUGGCUUAUGGUGGUGUCAGGAACUGAAACUGGGACCUUGGAGCCUCAGGCAUGAGGACCUGUUACGUAAACAUCUGUGUGUAUUAUCUCCCUGGCCCCUCAAUCUAAAGAAGAAGAAGAAGAAAAAUAAAUAACUCAGACUUGAAUGUAUUUCAUCGUAGUCAAGACACAGAGCACGUCUGCCCAGAUUCCAGGAGCCUUCCUGUCUUUUCAUGGCCACACCCAUGCACCCCCCACACACACACACACAGCCCACCCAGCUUUUGUCCCCAGCAACUUCCUGUGUGUGGAGUGACCUCCAAGGCAAACCUGGAGUCCAGCACCCAACAUCACUGGAGACACCAGGUUCCAGAUGCCAUCAGGAUACCGGCCAGGCUUCCCUGGACUGAAGACCCCACCAAUGUGUCCUGGAGCUCAACUUCCCCAGAGACAGACUGGGAGUAUGGAUCGACCAGUCAACGCCCAUGUUCAUUGGGGAAGCAAUUACAGAAGCCAGACCUCCCACCUUCUGCAACCCACAGAGACCCUGGGUCCAUGCUCCCAGAGGGAUAGAGAAUGGGAAAGCUAUUGGGGAGGGGAGGGGAUA